CCUACGGGCGGCAGCAGUGAGGAAUAUUGGUCAAUGGACGAGAGUCUGAACCAGCCAAGUAGCGUGAAGGAUGACUGCCCUAUGGGUUGUAAACUUCUUUUAUAGGGGAAUAAAAUGUUCCACGUGUGGGAUUUUGUAUGUACCAUAUGAAUAAGGAUCGGCUAACUCCGUGCCAGCAGCAGCGGUAAUACGGAGGAUCCGAGCGUUAUCCGGAUUUAUUGGGUUUAAAGGGAGCGUAGGUGUAUUGUUACGUCAGUUGUGAAAGUUGGCGGCUCCACCGUAAAAUUGCAGUUGCAACUGGCAGUCUUGCGUACAGUUGUGGUGGGCGGACUUCUUGUUGUAGCGGU
rnacentral:rRNA from 1 species